AAACGGGGUGGCUCCUCCCGACACCGCAACAGCCCCACCCUCGGGCUCUCUCGCCGGAUACCUGGCAUAAAUGGGCAGUGCUAGGUGGAGCGUCCUGGGGGAGAAGCUGGGGGUGUGGGUGCUGGGCUGAAGAAGGAAGCUCACC
ensembl:miRNA